AGGGGAGCCGGGCAAGAAGUUGGUCGGUCAUUUCACAUCCUAGAAUUUAAAGGAAAGAAAGUGAUGCUUUCAUCUAGAUCAUUGUGGAUCGCUUCCUUGGUUUUUGGAAAAGACAACAUUCAAGGGAAGGGUGUUUGUGACACAUGCAACCAAAGCAAUAUACAAGUACAAUGCAUGAUUUAGAUAUCACAGAUGCAUAUUGCAUAUUAGGAUAUACCACACGAGUGGCUGGUGUGCAGAUGAUUAGCAAGAAUGUUACACCUCCAAGCCACCAAAGAGACAAUAUCAUAUCUCAAGAGUUUAAUUUGCAAUCCUUUUUUUUCAUUAUAUGGACAGAAAUGAACUUUUAAGGUUAAAGCUAGAACUUUUGGCCUCUAUGCAGUAUAUACUAAAACAAUUAUUGACCUCAGUGUUGGUGAAAGUGGUGGAUACUUACCAAGCCAUUUUGCAGCUUGGUAAAUAUCCACCAUUAUUAAGUUUUCAACUCCAAACACUCAGCUCCAGUUAUCAGCUCUUCUUCUUAGUCACCUUAUGUGGAAGGGCAUGGCCCCAUCUGUUGUGUAGCUGAAAAAAGGCUCCAAACAUAGCCUGGUUGGUUAUUGACCAUCUCAUAUCCAUUUGCACAUUCAUGGAAUGAUUGUUAACUAUUCCCCUCCAUUUUAGUGAAUAUACGAGUCAUGUAACCUCCAGAGUCCAGCUCUCAAACAGAAUAGGCACCAGU